UCCAAUGUGGUGUAGUGGUUAACAUUGCUGUCUUUCAUAAAAGGCGAUAAAUGUGUACACAGCAGCCCGGGGUUCGAUUCCCCGCAUUGGAA